rnacentral:misc_RNA from 1 species
AUCCACUUCCUCUCUCGUUCGGCUUUCUUCUUCUAUCAGAAAGAAAAGAAAAAUGGCGUCUUUAUCGAGUUGUAAUCAUCCAGGGAAACUCUGUUCCUCGUUUUCACCUUCCUCCCUUAAGUUGUCAUGGGUCCAACGCGUGUCGGUUCAGUUCAUUCACACCCAAAACCACACUUGUUCCCUUCCUUAUGCUCCAAGGGCUCUCACUGUCAUUUCCAUGGCCCCCCCUAAGCCCGGUGGUGGUAAAGCGAAGAAAGUCACUGGUAUUAUAAAGUUAGCUCUCGAGGCAGGGAAGGCAACCCCAGCUCCACCCGUGGGGCCGGCCUUGGGUUCCAAAGGUGUUAACAUCAUGGCAUUCUGUAAGGAUUACAAUGCCAGAACUGCUG